rnacentral:ncRNA from 1 species
AACAAAGUGAUGAUGAAGAUGGUUUGAAGAUACGAGCUUAAGAAAGUCGGUGGUUGCUGUGAACCGAUGCUUUUUCUUCACAAAACCGAGCACUUCUGAACUGGACAGUUGAAUGAAAUAGUAGGCUGUCACGGCUUAAUGUCGUUAUUUUUCUCUGAGGUUACGUUUUGUAACAAAAGAGGGUGGCACCACGUAUAUGACGUCCCUCAU